AAAAAUUUAGUUAAAUUAUAACAUUAGUUUGUCAAACUAAAAUAACUUCAAUAAGUAAUUUUUU
rnacentral:tRNA from 1 species